AAGACGGACGAGCUCACAUUGUGCGCCACCGGCACCGCACCGGCAAGGAAAGACGCAUAUGAAAUCAGCAUCCACACCGCCACUCACGCGCGUCGUUUCCAUCAGCGCUGACUCACCAUCUCACCACUUCCUUGCGCUGUUUGUUUCCCCGUUUCCACCGCUCAUUCUUUGGGGCGGCGUCGACUGCUUUUUGUUUGUGUGCGCAUAUCGCCUUUUCGGCUUUUGCUGGGGCGCUCUUGCCUCUCACUCUCUAUUUCACUCACGCACACGGUUUUCUUUUUCCUUUGCCUAUCCUCACUACCCGUUGCUGCCCAUGUUGCGGAGGCUGUGACACUUGUUGAGCACUGCACUAGCGCCAGCCUUGGCGGCGGAGCUGAUUGGUCUGGCAUCCAACAAACACGCUCCGUACGUUGUCGUCUUUCCAACUUCCCUUCUUUUUUUUCACCCGCUCAUCGCUGUGCGCGCUCACAUCUCCGGUUUCUUCGCUGCUUUUCGUUUUUGUUCUUCAAAUGUCUCUUUCUUUCUGAUUCAUGGGCUGCGCUGACAUACGCGCGCGUCUGUGCGUGCUCCCUUGCGUCCUCGUGCCGCUGCUGCUGCCGCUGCCGGCGCGCUGACCGACUUCUGUUGUCUUCCUCAGCAUUCACGUUCUCCUCCUUUCGUUUCUCCCUUCUCUGCCUGUAUGUGUUUGGGCUCUCUUGCAGUCCAUCUCACAUUUCCCGCCCCCUCUCUCAACUCCUCAUCGCUUCCGUGGCUGCGCCACGGCAGACGUUGUCAGGGUUUUCUCUUGGCGCAUGCGUAUUUUGUUUCGGCGGCGGCGCCUUUUCAUUAUGGAUGUGGGCUUCUGUCUUUCCUUCGUCAUAAUGUGCGCAUGAUUCCCAUCCAUGUAGCCGAAGCAACACGAAGAAAAGAAAAAGAGGCGUCAUGCGCGAUGUGUCCGUGCUGCUAGGCGGUCAGAAAGAGGUCGAUGAAGAAAGACGCUCUCUUCUGUUGUAGCGUUUCACUCGUCUUCGUGACCAUUUUCCGCACCUCAUUCGCAUUCGUUGCGUGCUUCUUUCGUGUGUCGCAUAUGCACAUGCCUGCUCGCCGGUUGGUGUGCGGAGCACUGCCACUGCAGCGAACGGUGACAGUGGCUUGCUUGGAUUCUCGACUGGAGGAGCAGCGCAGAAGGGAGAGCUGUGGUGAAAGAAGAUAAGCGGCGCAGGUGCAGCCUCUGCUAUGUCACGUUUCCUCUCUCCUCCCCCCGGGGGGGGGGUGGCUCUGCGUGACUUCUGCCCUUUCUCUGCUUUCAUGAUUUUCCUCCUUGCUGUGAUGUCUUCGAAAUUUUUGUGUGUCGCUCUGUGCGUGCCCUUCGGGGUGGGCCUCUUUGUGCAUGCGUGUGUUUUCUGUGCUCCAUGUUUAUCUUCCGCCUCACUGACUGGGGCGCAACUCGGCUGAUGAAGUGCAUUUGUGCAGCAGGGCUGUGCCCUCCGCCGCAACACAAG
rnacentral:misc_RNA from 1 species